AAAGAGCCCUGGCCACUGUUGCUCAGUUGGUUAUAAAGUGUCAUCUCAAACACCAAAGCGUUUCUGGUUCGAUUCAUGUUCAUGAGAUGUAUCCUGCAAUGAAAUAAAAUUUAUACAAAGGAGUGCAUUUGAAUCAUUGCCUUUUUUGAAAUAUUUAAAUCUUGGUUGCAACUUAAUCGCAAAAGUGAGCUAUGGAACAUUUCAGGCCUGGCAUGGAAUGCAGUUUUUACACAAGUUGUCCAGACUGAUGGUUUAUUUUAAACACUUCACUGAGGUCACCUCAUUGAUUCUAACAAUAGAAGCCCCAUGAUUUUAGGAAACGGGGGACUCUACGCUGUAGAAAGGCUCUGCCCUGUCCAGGUGGAGCACAUUCACUGCUGGCUUGUCUGUGGAGCAUCGAUGUUGGGCAAGAACAUAGGCACUAAGGGAG